GGUUGUUUCUUAAGGGGUGGGAUUUUUUAUGAUAGGCUGUUUGUAAUUGGUUGUUUCUUAUGGGUGAGGUGUCUUUUGUGGUAGGCUGUUUGUGAUUGGUUGUUGUCCUAGUCUUUCAUUCGAGUGCACCGCCAUGGCCCUUUGGACCCCCUGGCUUUAAUGGCUUUCUAGUUUAUUUAAUGGAGAGAACACCAGCUCUUGGGAGUCAGAAAUAACUGUGACAGGUGAGGUCAAGGGUGAGAAUGUGUCUUGUAAACGAAAGAGUACACUGUCAGUGCAAAGACUGCUCCUUUUCGGCCUCCCUGAUUCUCAGCACAAGCCUCCUGGGCCUCCUCGGGAAGCCUCGCGCGUGGGUAGAUGCGCUGCCGCCAUCUUGAUGUGCUCAACGGUGUGGUCUUCUAAGCUGUGCUUUGUAAGUGAAGGUGAAGGCCAGCGGGGAAACGGAGCACAGGAGGAGGUCAACGAAAUACGCUUCACUCGCAUGUCCCCGGCAUCGUGCCUCACAGUAGCUCGGAUACUUGGGAGAGCAACAGGGGGAUGAUGAGCCUGCACUUUGAAUUGUAUUUCCAGUUGAAGCAGUGAUCCAUCCACAUUCCCUUUCAUGAUCCACUCUGGGACCAACAGCUGGCCUGAAAGGAAUAAAAGUAUCAUAUACAGAUAAUUCACUCUUUUACACAAAAUGAUUCUUAUCCUGAUACCAAACAAACAAAAGUAAAACACCUAAAUUAAAUCAAGUGGUUUGGACUUCUAUUAUUAAGAUGAAUAGAAGUGGUAAGAGCAGAUAUCCUCACCUUGAUCUUGAAGUAUAGUGUUAUUAGAUGGAGUGUGAAAAUCCUUGAAACAAAUGUGGAACACCGGAGCUUCUGCUUGAGUUGGAACAUUGGAUUUGAAGAGAUUUUAUUCAUUUAUUCAUGAGAGACACAGAAAGAGAAGCAGAGAUGCAGGCAGAGGGAGAAGCAGGCUCCUCACAGGAAACCCAACGUAGGACUCAAUCCUGAACUCCAGGAUCAGGACCUGAGCCAAAGACAGAUGCUCAACCUCUGAGCCACCCAGGCUUCCCAAUCCUUAUUCCUAUGGAUUGGAAAUACCAGUUCUACUCCCUUCCUUUAUAAUAUGAUUAUCUGCAGUUUUAAAGAGUGAACUGAUAAUUUUGGGGAAUGGUCCAGAAAGCUACAAGAUUAACUCAAGGAUUACAAAUACUGCUCUCCAGGCCACUCAACAUUAACAAAUACAUGUUUUUCAAGCAGACAGAAAUGCAGGAUGCCAUAGAACUUAUUCUUAGAGAGUAAGAGUAAAGACUGCAAGAAGGGAAAAAUGGAAGUAAGAACUAUUUGCAACUCAGAACAAUUUUUUCCUUCUGAGACCUGAAGAGGUGAGAAGAAAAAGCCUUUUGAGCCAUGGCAACCAUCAUCCUACAUCUACUUCUUAUGAAUUUGACUACUCUAGAUUACGAAUAUAGAGAGCGAGAGAAGAGAGAAAGAGAGAGAAUGGCAGAGACACAGGCAGAGGGAG